CACACAGCUCAUUAACACGUGGCUAACCUGCCCUCGGGACGAGAACACCCCCGGGAAACUGGGGCUAAUUCUCGAUAGGCGAAGAAUUCUGGAAUGAGUCUUCACCCAAAAGACGCUUAGAUCAUGCUUUUAGGCGUCGCCCAAGGAUGGGGCCGCGACCGAUCAGGUUGUUGGUGAGGCAAUGGCUCACCAAGCCUUUAACCGGUGCGGGCCGUGGGAGCGGGAGCCCGGAGAUGGGCACUGAGACAAGGGCCCAGGCCCUACGGGGCGCAGCAGUCGCGAAAACUUUGCAAUAAGCGAAAGCUUGACAGGGCUAUCCCGAGUGCCAUCCGCUGAGGAAGGCUUUUACCCAGUCCAGUAAGCUGGGGGAAUAAGGAGAGGGCAAGUCUGGUGUCAGCCGCCGCGGUAAUACCAGCUCUCCGAGUGGUGUGGAUGUUUAUUGGGCCUAAAGCAUCCGUAGCUGGCUGAGUUAGUCCCCUGUUAAAUCCACCGAAUCAAUCGUUGGAUUGCGGGGGAUACUGUUCGGCUAGGGGGACGGGAGAGGCAGACGGUAUUUUCGGGGUAGGGGUGAAAUCCCAUAAUCCCGGGAAGAACACCAGUGGCGAUAUGCUGUUCUGCUAAACGCCCCCCGAAGGUGAGGGAUGAAAGCCGGGGUUUCCAACC
rnacentral:rRNA from 1 species